rnacentral:rRNA from 1 species
GUCGAGCGGUAGAGAGGUGCUUGCACCUCUUGAGAGCGGCGGACGGGUGAGUAAAGCCUAGGAAUCUGCCUGGUAGUGGGGGAUAACGCUCGGAAACGGACGCUAAUACCGCAUACGUCCUACGGGAGAAAGCAGGGGACCUUCGGGCCUUGCGCUAUCAGAUGAGCCUAGGUCGGAUUAGCUAGUUGGUGAGGUAAUGGCUCACCAAGGCGACGAUCCGUAACUGGUCUGAGAGGAUGAUCAGUCACACUGGAACUGAGACACGGUCCAGACUCCUACGGGAGGCAGCAGUGGGGAAUAUUGGACAAUGGGCGAAAGCCUGAUCCAGCCAUGCCGCGUGUGUGAAGAAGGUCUUCGGAUUGUAAAGCACUUUAAGUUGGGAGGAAGGGCAUUAACCUAAUACGUUAGUGUUUUGACGUUACCGACAGAAUAAGCACCGGCUAACUCUGUGCCAGCAGCCGCGGUAAUACAGAGGGUGCAAGCGUUAAUCGGAAUUACUGGGCGUAAAGCGCGCGUAGGUGGUUCGUUAAGUUGGAUGUGAAAUCCCCGGGCUCAACCUGGGAACUGCAUUCAAAACUGUCGAGCUAGAGUAUGGUAGAGGGUGGUGGAAUUUCCUGUGUAGCGGUGAAAUGCGUAGAUAUAGGAAGGAACACCAGUGGCG